rnacentral:rRNA from 1 species
AUUGAACGCUGGCGGCAUGCCUAACACAUGCAAGUCGAACGGCAGCACGGGAGCUUGCUCCUGGUGGCGAGUGGCGGACGGGUGAGUAAUGCAUAGGAAUCUGCCCAGUAGCGGGGGACAACUUGGGGAAACUCAAGCUAAUACCGCAUGCGCCCUACGGGGGAAAGCGGGGGACCUUCGGGCCUCGCACUAUUGGAUGAGCCUAUGUCAGAUUAGCUUGUUGGUGGGGUAACGGCCUACCAAGGCGACGAUCUGUAGCUGGUCUGAGAGGACGAUCAGCCACACUGGGACUGAGACACGGCCCCAGACUCCUACGGGAGGCAGCAGUGGGGAAUAUUGCACAAUGGGCGAAAGCCUGAUGCAGCAAUGCCGCGUGUGUGAAGAAGGCCUGCGGGUUGUAAAGCACUUUCAGUAGGGAGGAAACAGUAGCCGGUUAACUAUCCGGUUGCCUUGACGUUACCUACAGAAGAAGCACCGGCUAACUCUGUG